AGGCUUACUACUUCCAUCUUAAUUCAACACAUAAUCCAUUCUACAACUAUCAAUUCAACAAUAUUUUCAUAUUCUUAUCAAUUCAUCCCUUGCUCACUCUCUUUGUAAUUUAUAUAUUCAAUUACUGAUCUCCAGCUUACCUAUUGUAUUCAGUUUUUUAAUUCAUCACACAGAAUUCAAUAUCUCAGCUUACGACUUUCACAGUCUGACACUCCAGAC
rnacentral:lncRNA from 1 species